GUUUCAUCGCGUUGCAAGAGUUAUGAUUUUCGUGAAUUGACGAGUUUAUCGAAUUUUCCUUCGUGUUUUCCUUCAACACUGGCGCGUUCGAUAAGUUUCCAUUAUGAUUCCGGGAAUUUAUUUCGCUUUCAAGGGAUUCGUGUCGUUCCUCAUUUUCUUUCUCCGGGAUAUCGUUGUGCGUUUGGCUGAGCAUCUGAAACUUUAUAACGAAUUCUCACGGAAAUAUCGCCAAGUGUAAUGUGAAAACCUGUGUAAAAUUUAAGCGAAAUCGAUUAUAUGUAGAAGUAGUAUAAUGUGAUUACGAGUUUCCUGUUCGAACGAUUUAUGGAGGCGUCUCACGAAAUAUAGAAUUCGAACGAAAUUACGGAAAAUUUGGAAAUUCCGUUUAAUAAGUUUUACAGAGUAAAGGUUCGACCAAGAGGGUGUAAAUCGAUCAGGACGAAAAGGGCGAAGGAGAGAAACAGCGACGAAAGCACGGUUUAUCAACGAUAUCCUUUCACGAUAUCCGCCGGCAAACAGUGCCGUGAAUUCGAGAUACGUGGUCGAUCGUCGGCACGGAAAUUACACAAUUGCGUCUCCUCCAAGAAGGAAAGAAAAAAAAAA